rnacentral:tRNA from 17 species
UUUUACAGCAUUAAAUGGAUACUUAAGCAUUAAGAUUCAAAAUGGGCGUUUUAUAACGAAAUAUUACAAGGAGUAGACUAGAAUGCUUAGAUCUGUAAUUCCCCAUAAAUUCGGAAAACUGAUCUUCAACUAAUGAAGAAUUGUCUAAAGCUGUUUUUAGGCAAAAAAUUUGGUGAAUUGAACCAUCUAAGUAACCAAAGUCCAAAAAUCAAACGAGGUGCUGUUAGUAGUGGCGAGCGAACGCAGCAAUAGACUUGAAAAUCGAAAAAUCUAUUUAAUAUUUACAAUAGCCGUAGUAUGGUAACCUAAAAUACAGGACAGCCCUGUAAAAUAGAAUUUAAGUUUUCGUUUAGUAAUGUAAACUAAGUCAUAGUUUGCCUGAAUAUUGGGGGACCACCCUCAAAGUCUAAAACUCUUAAUGACUGAUAGUGAAUAGUACCGUGAGGGAAAAGUGAAAAAGACUUUGCGAAAGUGAAAAGACUUUGAAAUUUAAUGCUAACAAUCUGUCGUAGUUUUUAAAAUGACGACGUACCUUUUGCAUAAGGGACCAACAAGUUUAUUUUAGUGGCGAGCUUAAGUAAUUAGAUACGUAGGCGCAAAGAAAUUAAGUUUUAAAAGGCUGUUAUCAGUCUCUAGAAUAAGACCCGAAACUAAGUGAUCUAGUCAUGAACUGGUUGAAGUUUAGGCGGCAACGCCUUUCGGAGGACCGAACCCGUGUAUGUGGAAAAAUACUGGGAUGAUUUGUGAUUAGGGGUGAAAGGCCAAUCAAACUUAGAGAUAGCUGGUUUUCUGCGAAAUCUAUUUUAGUAGAGCGUUUAAAUAACUUUUUUAAAGGUAGAGCUCUCGAUAAAUGAUGGGGACUUAACGUUUUACUGAAUUUAUUGAAACUUCGAAUGUUAAUUAUAAUGAAUUUAAACAGACAGACUGUGAGUGCUAAGAUUCAUGGUCAAAAGGGAAACAGCCCAGAUUACUAACUAAGGCUCUCAAAAAUAAUUAAGUGGAAAAAUUGUGAAAAAAUAUUAACAACCGAAAAGUAGGCUUAGAAGCAGCCAUCUUUUAAAGAAAGCGUAACAGCUCAUUGGUUUAGUUUUUUUGCAUUGAAAAUGUAUGGAACUAAAAUUAUUUGCCGAAGUUGUAAAUUUAUCAAGAUUAAAUGGUAGCAGAACGUUCUGUAAGUUUAAGAAGUUUUAUAGUGAUAUAAAAUGGAAACAUCAGAAAUGAAAAUGUUGGUAUGAGUAACGACAAACAAUGUGCAAAACAUUGUCGCCUUAAGUUCAAGGUUUCCAAAACAAGGCUAAUCCGUUUUGGUAUUUAAUUUAUUGUUAAUCGGUCUCUAAGGAUAAAAACGAAAGUUUUAGUUCAAUGAGGAAAAAAUUAUUUUUUAUUUUUCAAAAGUGACAAAAUAUAAAUAUUAUUUUGAUUUUAUGGUUUAAAUUAAAGUUUUAUAGUGUUUUCUAGAAAUAGCUUUUGAAUGAAUUAACCGUACCCUAAACCGACACAGGUGAACAAGUUUAGUAAACUAAGGCGCUUGAGAGAAUUAUGUUGAAGGAACUCGGCAAAAUGACUCCGUAACUUCGGAAUAAGGAGUGACUUUAUAGGGGCAACCUUAUAAAGUUGUCACAAAAUCGGGGACAGCAACUGUUUAACAAAAACACAGGUUUCUGCUAAUUCGUAAGAAGAUGUAUUGAAACUGACGCCUGCCCAGUGCUGCAAGAUUAAAGGAAAAAGUCAUUUGGCUUUGACCCUAACUCCCAGUAAACGGCGGCUGUAACUCUGACGGUCCUAAGGUAGCGAAAUUCCUUGGCAUUUGAUUGGUGUCCUGCAUGAAUGGCGUAAUGACUGUCCUACUGUCUCCAACAUAAACUCAGUGAAAUUGAAUUUUUCGUGAAGAUGCGAAAUUCUUGCAGCUAGACGGAAAGACCCCGACACCUUUACUGCAACUAUACAUUGUGAUAAGAUUUUUUUUGUGUAGCAUAAGUGGGAAGUUAUUCAAUAAUUCUUCGCGCAAGCGAAUAAAUUAAACAUCGUUGAAAUACCACUCUAAAAAUUUUUUAUUACUUAUUGUUUAAGACAGUGUAUAGUGGGUAGUUUGACUGGGGCGGUCGCCUCCUAAAAGGUAACGGAGGCGCUCAA